UUGUGCUCAUGCGCCGACAGAGCUCUGCCCUUCCACCCCACGCUUAGCGGCUUUCGAAGCCGAAACUACAUUUCCCGGGGGCCUUAGCGGGGUGGGGCCUAACUGUUCCCUCCGGUAACUAAUCCGGGGUGCGCUAACCUGCACCGGGGGCUAUGGUUCCGUUCGGGUUACACUCUGACUCGGUAUUGGCCUUGAAAUGAUGUCCAGGGAGAAAAAGAAAUAUGUGAAGGGAAAUGAGGAAAGUGCAUGAGAGAAAUAUUAAAAAUCUGUUUCUGAGGAUCCAGAGGGAUCAUGUGAAGAUAUGUUCUAUUCCCCGUCUUUGCCUGUGGCAACUCCAAGAGUUAGACUUUAUAAAGGUCACAGUCCAAAAAGAGUGAAUUUCCCAAUGGCCAAGUACUGGGAGUCCACAGAGAUCUUCACUGCCACCCACAGCUUUGGUCAACAAGAUAUAAGCAGGUCAUCUGAUGGGUUGCUGAGAAAACCAAUUCUGAUAGAAGGCUUAGGUGUUGCUGCUGCUACCCAUCCCCUACCUAUCUGCUGUGAAUACAAGUUAUCUUACCUGAAGCUAUGGCAGCCAUCAUGACCAUGCUGGAAAAUCCAUGAAACCAAAGGCAUUGAACUAUUUUGUCUAUGAACCAAUGCCCACUACCUCCAGAUUUGUUAUAUGAGAAAAAAUAAAUCCCUGCUUGCUUGUAAGCCAUUGUUCAGGGGACUUUAUUUGUAGUCAAAGUUCAAAUAGAGAUAUAUUAUCUCAAACCCACUUUCCCCUAGUUAUCUAAUAUCUCCUUUCUCAGUCCAGCCAUUAAGUAUUUUUUUGACACUUAACUCACUCUUCAACCCACUAAAAUUUAGGUUAUCAAUAAGACUAAAGGCCAUAUUUCUAUUUUUACUUAAUCUUUCAUAUUAGCAAUUGGAAAUAUUAACUGUUCUUAUCCCUACAUUAAAACUUCCUUUUAAUUUUUGUGCUACCACCUCUUGAUUUUUCUGGUUUUCAUUUUUCUUUUGGCAAGUCUUUCAGCACUGAUUCCAUUUCUGCUUAAUGCCAGACCUUCCUGGAUUCAUUACUUGGAUAUGCAUAGAUUCAUCAAAAUGCCCUGAACUCAUCAUUGUCCCACAAAAUUUGACAAUUUUGUUUUUAAUUAUGGCACCCCAUCUGCCCACAUAAAUUCAGGUCAUUCUAGCCUCUUUCUUCUCAUUCAAGUGUCUGCAUUUAAUCAUUUCCAACCAUUAUCUCGACUCCACUGUUGCUUGAAUUCUUCCUUUCCUCUCCCAUCCCACUGCCAUUUUCUUAGUUUAUCCCUUGGAGAACAAAAAAAAAAAA